rnacentral:misc_RNA from 1 species
UUUGGUGGAGCGCUGGUGUAGUCCAGCAUAAGGCAGGAGAAAUUAUCCACGCCCCCGGUUUGUCUCUACGUCUCUUUUCAACUGAUGUGCCACGUAAUACCCGGAUGGUCCAAUCGGCAUGAGAGAAGAACAAUAGGGAUUGGCCACGGGGCCUGUCUCUUACGUGUUAUGGUAGCUAACCUUAUUCAAACAGAUUUUCCUUGCAAGCUGAUCACUGGUUUUCAUCGUCAUCUCUGACCGGGAGAGGGAACCGAGAGUCGCCGGGUAGACAGGCAUUCUACAGUCUGGUGUGGUACGCACUCCACUUGGGUGUUGCGGGAACUUUAAUCUGGCUUGGAGUUGGGUGUAGAAUUUUUCUCUCUCCUUUCGCGUGCAACUUUAGAAGUUAGUUAGAGGUUGAGGCUUUUAACCAGUUUUUUUCUCAUUGGAUGACCAUGGCAAACGCACAUAAUUACUUGGUGAUAGUUUUCUGUACUACGGCUGGGCAGAGAGGUGCUUUGCUUGGGACGGACGAAACGGACUUGGUCUUGCUGGUGUGGGGUGUCAUUGAUGUUGAGACAAACAAGUUGGUUGGGUUCAUCAAGCAGUCCUUCGUUAGACCAGACUCGGACAAUGUUGAGGUAUCUGAGGACCUGUGCAAGGCACUGGGAGUCCAACGAGAAGUCUUCAAGGGCGCCGCCAAGAUGGAGAAAGUGCUCCAACAGUUCGAGGAGUUUCUUUACCGGGAACUCAAUCUCAGUCAGGGUAACACCUUUUGUCUUCUGACUGACGGCCAACUCCACAUUCGCCAAUGCCUUCACCCACAGGCACUCAACAAGAACGUCGAGUUACCAGACUUUUUCUACUCCUUCUUCGAUCUGAGGAAAGAGUUUCAGAAGUUCCAUGCCGGAGCUACGACCAUCACAACAGUCAAAGACAUGGCAGAUUAUUUGAAGAUCGACACAGGGAACUACAACUUCACGGAAACGGGGCUGGACGAGUGCCGAGUCAUGGCUAGCAUUGUACAGAGGCUCAUUCACGAAGGUCACAGAUUCACAAAUCCUGAUCAAAUCCGAAGAAAAUACGAACCUGGUACAUUCGACAAGACGGACACUGUGCCCGAUAACACAGUGGUCAAAGCCCGAGGUUUACCCUGGCAAGCCUCAGACAGAGAUGUCUUCCGCUUCUUUAAAGGCCUCAAUAUCGCAAAAGGUGGGGUGGCAUUGUGUUUGAACCACUAUGGUAGGAGGAACGGUGAAGUGAUGGUUCAUUUUGAAUCUUCCCAGCACCGAGACAUGGCUUUACAGAGACACAGACACAACCUUGGUAACCGAUAUGUGGAGGUGUUCAAGGGAACGGGAGACGAGUUCAUCAAAGUUGCAGCAGGCACUUCUCGUGAUGCAGCACUGUUUCUGUCCAGAGAUGAUGGCCAUAUCAUUGUACGGAUGAGAGGACUUCCAUUCACUGCAACUGCUCGAGAAGUGGUCGAUUUCUUUGGACCUACCAUCCCUGUGUCUGGUGGUGAAGAAGGUAUAUUGUUUGUCAAGCAGCGCAACGGUAAAAUGACGGGCGAUGCUUUUGUUCUCUUCUCCACUGAGGAAGUCGCCAACAAGGCCUUGGAGAAACACAAGGACUACUUGAAGAACAGAUACAUUGAGAUCUUCCGUAGCACAACUGCUGAAGUGCAGCAGGUUCUAUCCCGUCUUCACUCGGAGCCUUUGGUACCCGAGGGACCACCCCCCGCCAAUGUCAUGGUGCCCAAUAUUAUCCCUCCACCCCCAGCUCACCUGGUACCCCAGCCACACCCAGCUGCCUUUGUACCCCAACAACUCAUAACCUGUGGCAUGAUACGAGACUGCAUCCGGAUGCGGGGCCUACCCUUCAAGGCAACCAUUGAGGACAUCAUGAGGUUUCUUGGAGAGACGGCAAACUACAUUCGUCCACAUGGAGUGCAUAUGGUGUUCACAAUGCAGGGAAACCCAACUGGAGAAGCCUUCAUCCAGAUGAUGUCUGCCGAGAAGGCACUCCUAGCUGCCCAGUUGUGCCACAGGAAGUACAUGGGAGAACGCUACGUGGAAGUCUUCCAAUGCUCCGGAGAUGAGAUGAACCUGGCAUUGAUGAGUGGAGCCCGAGGCAAGGCAGUGCAGCCGCAAGCAGUACAAAGUGCAAUAGCACCAACAACUCCUCCAUUCCCUUAUCAGCAGCAACUUCAAUCUCCCAACGGCGGUAUGAUCCCAACCACGACUCCCAUGCCUGCCAUCCAGACACGCCAACAGGCCACCCAUUCCUACAUCCAACAACCUCUUUAUUACUUCCCUAGCCCUCCUGUCUCCCCUACCACCAGCCAGCUCUACCAUCACCCCCACGCCAGCAAUGCGGUCAUCCGCCUUCGAGGACUCCAUGUUGGAGCUACGCCCCAAGAAGUUGCCAACUUCUUCCAGGGAUAUGGGGCUAUCCCAACACAUCAUGGAGCUGGCAUCGAGUGGCAAUGACCUGAGAUACUCAGGAAAACUAUGAUCACGUGCAAUAUAAAGGAGACUGAUGCUAACUAUGCAAUAGGUGCCAGCUGAGAAUGUACAGUUUCAGUACAACGGGGAUGUAUUGGUUCCAUUCUACUCCCAAGAACUCGCCAUGAAAGCUCUCCAUG